rnacentral:lncRNA from 13 species
UAUAAGAUUCUAGAAAACAAUGCUCUUGAUGGAUUUUGCAAAGGAUUAAUACUCGCAUGGGAAUUAUACAAUAAUCCAGAGGAUAUUAUGUUAUUUAUUGUUGAAGAUGUGACUUAUAAUAUAAGUGAUUAAAGGUUUCAUGAGUUCCAAA